UUAUACCUCUGCCCUAACCCUUUUCACUCUCACACUCCCGACUGAUUUCCCCCAAAUUUGAUUUCGCUCGCUUGAUCGUCUGAAGAAAUUGGUUGUGAUCGAUUCUCAAGAACUGUGGGAUUGCUUGUGAUCAAUUUCGCUCUAUAGAUCACCAACGACAUUACAUGAUGUAGAUAACGUAAAGGUGGAAGGUGAUAACGACAUUAAGGAUAAUAAUAAUCAUGUACAAACAGCCAGUGGUGGCAGUGAGGUUGAUGGAAUGCAUGAUUCUGUUUCUUCCCCUGCUACAGUGGCUCACUGUCAGAUGAUUCAUGUCAUCCUGAAACUUCUGUAUCCAGGAUUAAUUCUGAGACUCAAGAUGUUGUGAUAUCUUCUAAUUUAAGGCCUUCAAAUUGUAUCAGGAAGGGAUCAGCUGGUGUUGUGCGUAUGAUGCUUCUAAAAUCAGACCAGAACUUGCAUGCACCAUUUACGCAAGUUGUUUUAGCUUCAGUAGACCAAGAUUAUUUUCCAGUUACUUUUUUUUAAUCCCUUUAAUUUUCAAUAGAAACAAUCUUGACUUGUUCUCUAUGCUUGUUACAGGAUGCACCACUUAUGAUAGAAGACAUGCAUGAGGAACGACUCAAUGCUGUAUAAGCCUUGGGUUCUUCAUUUGUGUAAACUCUUCAUCAUAUGUAUUAUGACUGUGGUGAAGAUGGCCAUUGUGGCCAUGUUAUUGAUAUGCAUAUACAUGUACAUGUUGAUAUUAUGACUGCUAUCACUAAUUAUCUCAAAGUAUAUUUGAAUGGUUGCAUCUUAGGUGUUUUGAUAAAGUGGUUAUCACUCCACUUGCAUUAACUUUGAUUCAAGUAAGGUGGUACCAGUUUACUUUCUAUUAACGUUGAUUUAAACCUUUCAUUUUUGCUGAUUUCAUAUAUGGACAAGGGUUCUUUCUUUGUGACAGUGAUUUAUUAUAUGAAUUAGUUGACGUAGACUGGGAUGGCCUUGGAUUUGCACUUACGCCUACUGAUUAUAUGUAUAUCAUGAAAUGUUCACAAGGGAAAAGCUUUACUAAAGGUGAAUUACAACGUUUCGGGAACAUUGAGUUGAGCCCAUCUGAUGGGGUAUUAAAUUAUGGGCAGGUUUUCUUUCAUUAAUCUUGAUUUUGUGUCGCCAAAAAUGGGACAAGGGCUAAGGUUCUUCUGAUAGCGAAUGAUACCAAUCAUAACUCAAGACUACAGUUGACAACAAGCAAAAAAAGAGUCAUAUGGUUUGAACAGGUGUCAGCAAUGCCCUCGGACACAUACAAGAGCCUUCACUGUUUCUGGAAAGUUAAAGCCGGAGGAAAUCGUUGGGGCUACAUUGUCUUCACUUUCAGAUGAGUUUGUCGAUACUGUUGGUGUCGUAGCCUUGCCAUCUGAAGAUUCUGUUUCAGAAAGGAGGAAAUUGGAGUUCCUUGAAAUGCAAGAACUCAUCAAGGUUAAAAAUGCUAUCCAAAAAACACUAGAAGAUUUGGUGAACAUUGUGAAUUGAUAAGGUUGUUAGGUCACCAAACAUCUGAUCUCUAAUUUUUCUAAUUUUUUUUUUUUAGGUUCAUUUUAGUCGCAAUAUAUAGAAAAAUUGUUGUAGUAAGAAUUUUUUUACCUUUAUGGGGUUGGUAACUUUUAUGGGUAUAUAUAUGAGAUAGAUUGAUAUUUA